rnacentral:lncRNA from 1 species
CAGGUAAAGGCAUCUUUCUGCUGUCAGUGAGACCUUAGCACAGCAUCAAGAUCACAGGACGGUAAAUAAACAAUAACAACAACAACAAAACAAAAACACAAUUAACAUGGUUGCUAAGUGGGUGUACUAGUUUUGUGUCAACUUGACACAGCUGGAGUUAUCACAGAGAAAGGAGCUUCAGUUGAGGAAAUGCCUCCAUGAGAUCCAACUGUAAGGCAUUUUCUCAAUUAGUGAUCAAGGGGGAAAGGUCCCUUGUGGGUGGUGCCAUCUCUGGGCUGGCAGUCUUGAGUUCUAUAAGAGAGCAGGCUGAGCAAGCCAGAGCAAGCAAGCCAGUAAAGAACAUCCCUCCAUGGCCUCUGCAUCAGCUUCUGCUUCCUGACCUGCUUGAGUUCCAGUCCUGACUUCCUUGGUGAUGAACAGCAGCAUGGAAGUGUAAGCCAAAUAAACCCUUUCCUCCCCAACUUGCUUCUUGGUCAUGAUGUCUGUGCAGGAAUAGAAACCCUGACUAAGACAGUGGGUGAAGGAAAAAAACAAAAGGAGGACAUGGUAGCUCCUGGGUAUAGUGGAGGAGAAGGAUUAGAGUACACGUGAGGGGGAGCAGAGGCAGAGGCAGAGGCAACUGGGAGAAUGCAGGCUGAACAUGACCAGCAAACUGAGCCAAGCCAUGUCAGCAGAGCGGGGAGCGGGAGAGCCAGAAGCUGAUAGGCCAGGAGGCCAGGAGACCUAAAAGGGCCCCCAAAAGCAAAAGAUCACAUAGCCAAAAUGGCUGGGUUAUAUAGGGAAGAGCAGCUGGUGGAAGGGCAACCCUGCCCAGUCCCUGGGGCUGGAGAAGUUUAAGGGAGUGUGGGAUAUGGCAGCCGCAGGACCCUGUAACAGGUAAGGGACUGAGAGAUGCUGAGAGGAGAUGCUGAGAGAACCUGGUGGCCGGCAUCGGCUUUGAUAUGUUCAUGGACGUCUUGGUUAUGGGGGUGGGGGUGGUUUGAGACCUAAUGUCCCGGCCUUUUUGUUGUUGGUAAAGGUUGAGGAAGGACGAAGGGCCAUAAAGGGUGACAUAAUCUUUAUCUACUUUCUGCUGAAAUUGCAGUCAUCGAGAGCUCGAAGGCAGGAGUAUCAAGAUCACAGAAUAUUUAAUAAACAAAAACAGCUUACGUGGUUGUUGAGUGGGGAACACAGACCGCAUCUUAAGCAUGUGUGUUCCUGGAUCUCUUGGUCCAAACUUUCCCACGGCUCCGGAACUACUUAAUCUAUUGGCCUGAGAAGAGUUAUUAGGUGUGGGCUUUAAGACCCUCACCCUAGCUGCCUGGAAGCCAGGAUCCUGCUAGCAGCCUUCAGAUGAAGAUGUCGAACCCUCAACUCCUCUGUACCAUGCCUACCUGGAUGCUGCCUUGUUCCUGCCUUGAUGAUAGUGGACUGAACCUCUGAACCUGUAAGCCAGCCCCAAUUGAAUGUUGUCCUCAUAAGAGUUGCCUUGGUCAUGGUGUCUGUUCACAGCAGUAAAACCCUAAGACAGAGGGUCGUCCCAGUAUGAGGAAAGGGUUGGGGCAUUAGGAGGGCUGAGAAGCACCUUCUACACGAUGAGGUCAUGAAAGGAGAAAUGUGAUCUUUUAAUUUAAUUGUAUUUAUUAUUCGCAUGUGUAUUCAUUUAAGUGUAUUGGGCAUGUGCACCUGUGUGGAGGUCAGAGAUGAACUCACAGGAACCAGUUUCCACCUCCUAUACAGUAUGGCCCCAGAGACUGAAUUCGGGUCUUGGCAGCAAGUGUUUUUUACCCAAUGGGCCAUCUCACUAGCCCAGAAAUGGCUCCUCUUAAAGCCAACGAAUGAUGACCCACCUCCGUUUCAUCUCUUUUCCACUGUUGCUGUUGGGCUGAAGUAUUUUCCAUUGUGACAUGUCCAGGACUGAGCGAUGAGCAGAUUAUGGGAGGGGAGGCACCCAGCUCUGUCUGCUAUUGUCUAAGGUGCUCAAUUGGGAUCAGGGUUUACCUAAGUGGACGCUGCAUAGCCCAGAAUUCGUCUACCCUGGACCUCAUGCUCUUGUGUCUAUUCUUGUACCCUUAUGUCAGGGGGAAAAAAAAAAUCUCAAAUGCCCUCUACCCAUCAGACUCUCUGUCCUAAAUAGACAAAGCCCCGUCCAUUCCAUUAAAUCACAAAAACAGCUCACAGAUGUCGUUAAGGUUACUAAUCAGUUAAAUUAGAUUUAAUCAAAAGGAGGUUAUCUGUGUGGGUCUAAUCCAAUCUCGAGUACAUUAAAAGCAAAAUUUUAUUGACAGUUCGCAAAAGGGCGAGUCAGAGGGACUAAUGGGGAGAAGGAAGGCUGGAUGUACCCUGCCUAGCCUGAAGAUGGAGGGCGGACGGGCAUACAGUCCCCAGAGCAGCCCUGGCUGACCCCACUCUGACAGCUGCUAGGUAACAGGUCUAGUAGCGGCACAGAACUAAACAUUGCUAACAAUCUGAGAGAGCGCAGGAAGUGAGCCUGUCUCCAGGCCCUUGGCUGGCCAGCAGCAUUUUGAUGGCUCGCUGUAAGACCCAGAACACUGGCUCCCGUAGAGACUACAGUAGAGACUGCUGGGAUUUCCGGACAGACGGAUGUGUAGGAAGGACUGUGGCCUCAUAUCAGGGGUUGUUUAAACAGCCAGUGGUGGUCAUUUGUUAUGCAGCCGUAGAAAACCAAACCAAACCAAACCUCCAGCUUCCCGAGAGACACUUCUGAGGUAGAUCACACAGAAACAUAGUUGCUAGCUUCCAGAAUCUUCACAAUAGCCUAUUCUUGAAGAGAAAAGUAAUGAGUGGGGGCAGGGGGGGGGAUGAUAACUGAUAAAAAUCUCUUCUGAGGUGUUCUUAGAAGAGAGAGGGGCUAUAGGUUGCAGAGAAGAGGGUGGAGUCUAAGCUAAAUUUUGUGGCUUCAAUGACAAUAUUACCUCUAACAUUUAGGCGCCUCCGGAAUCUUAGCGACGCUCUAUGGAGGGAUGGGUUUGCAUAUGAGAGCAAUUAUCUUCUCUUUUUUAAACACACCAGAAUCAAUGGGGGAAAAAAAAAUAGAGGACUAAAAAUCUACUUAAGGAAUAGAAAUAGAACUAACUG